GACGAACGCUGGCGGCGUGCCUAAUACAUGCAAGUCGAACGCAGUUUCGAACGGGUGAGUAACGCGUAGGUAACUGCCUCAUAGCGGGGGAUAACUAUUGGAAACGAUAGCUAAUACCGCCUACUUUGAGAUGGACCUGCGUUGUAUUUGCUAGUUGGUGGGGUAAAGGCUCACCAAGGCGGCGAUACAUAGCCGACCUGAGAGGGUGAUCGGCCAAACUGGGACUGAGACACGGCCCAGACUCCUACGGGAGGCAGCAGUAGGGAAUCAUCGGCAAUGGGGGAAACCCUGAUCCAGCCAUCCCGCGUGUGCGAAGAAGGCCUUCGGGUUGUAAAGCACUUUUGGCAGGAAAGCGGUACCUGCAGAAUAAGCACCGGCUAACUACGUGCCAGCAGCCGCGGUAAUUC
rnacentral:rRNA from 1 species